rnacentral:lncRNA from 1 species
CACGCCACUGCACUACAGCCUGGGCAACAGAGACUUUGUCUGAGAAAAAAAAAAAAGAAAAAAAAAGAAAAGAAAAAAAGGAAAAAAAUUAGCAUGUUUAUCAAGGCACUUGAGUGCUCUAUGGAUAUUAUUUUCCACCUUGCUGGGACCAGGUAGCCGCCCCCCACCCUCGGUCAUGACUGGGCCCCAUGAUGUGCGGCUUACUCUCCCACUAUGCCCUGAAAUGCUCUCUGCUCCACUUGGGCUGGUGAUCUCACCUUCUCCACCUGCAAGGGGUGAUUCCCACCUUAGCACCUCUGCAGUGUUCCCCUCUUGGUCUGGAAUGGCCUCUUCUCUGCCUGUUCAACUCCUCUACCUUGGUGGUGCAGAAGGAGCCUGGCUUCCUCCAUGUGGCUACCCUGAGGACUCUUGCUUUUGGUGCCAGUGCCUGUGGCAUGAGGCUUCAGCAGCACACAGCCAGAACUAGGGCCUACACUGUCCUGCCCUGAGGCUUGGGAACUUCCUACAGGGCAUGCUGGACCCCAUCUUCUCACAGCUACUGCUACUUUUCCCCACACUUGGGGCAACCUAGCACAGGGCUGAGAGCAAGUCUGUUGCUGUCAUGGGAUUCUGUUUUGUUUUGGCUCUUUUGAGUAUGGAGAAAACAUUCUGAAAUAAUUUAUAAUCUAUGCUUCCUGUCUCUGGGAGACAAAAUAGGGAUUCAUGGGUUGUUGCUGCCCUCUAGUGAAGGCCAGACAGAAAUCAUCCUGCCAGUGGGCACAUGGGGCACAGGGUCACACUCACCACCAGAGUGCCACGCACAGCACCCCCGGCAUCGUCAGCGCCACCAGCAGCAUCCGCCAGUCUCGGAUGAAGUAAGCAAACAGUGGCAGCACCAUGUAGCCAAAUGCAUAAAAUAUGCACACUCCUAACGUAGAGAAUAUUAUACGAACUGACUUGCCAAGAAUUUCUGUCCCUGUUCAAAACAAGGGAGGUCGAGUUAGCAGUUUAAUUUGGGUUCCUUCCUUAUUAAUUUUUUAUGGUAUCUUUGUGAAUACACAGACAAGAAAACAGUGAGAACUCUCUCUAAGUUCAUGGCGCUAGGGAGCGGAUGGCGUUCUGAACCCCUCCUGUCUGACUGUCUCCUGGGGGUGCAUCCCUGUGGCCUCUCAGGCCCCCAAGCAACAGUUCUCUCUUGAAAAUUUCGCCAUGUUCUGAAGCCAUGUGCUAAAGAUGCCACGGUAGGCCCCCUUUAAUCCUCACAUGAGGAAGAAUUUAUUAAAAGUGAAGUCAUUACUAAGUCAGCACAUGCUGACUUAAGCCUCAAGGAAAGAAUAUUAAAUAUGAAAAGAAAAAACAACCCUUUCAACAAUACAACCCAAGGAACUCAAAGGCCUUAUCAGCUAGAGUCAGUUCCUCAAACACAGCCGGCCUGGCAGCUUCUCAGUGACAACAGGCUGGCACAUUUGAGACAAAGCCCUGCAGUGUGCACUCUGAAUUAAAACCCUGAAGGUGACGAAAGCCCCUUCCUAUCAAUUUAUUCUUGUCCAUAGAUAUCACCAGCCACAGUGCUCUGCAGACAAGGGGUUCUCUACCUUAGCAAGCUUGCCAGUCACGGCCCCUCCUCCUCCAACCAUGCCGCCCUCUUUCCGGGGCUGGCUCAGCCCUGUGCAGUGGCAGGCCCUUUUUGUAAAUGGAGGAUCUCUGGCAAGUCCUAGUAAAUUGACCAUCAAGUACUAAGACCAAGGAGCCACAGCUCAGAGGCCAGAAAAGAACUGGAAAUCAGAAGUCAGGCCAUUGUGCUGCUGGGGACCCCAGGCUGGUCUCAUGUCUGGCUCAGUUUCCCUGCCUAUAAGUAGGGUUCACCAGGAAGCUCUGGCUAGUUUUGUUAGAAACCCUGUCCCCCUUGAGGGACAUCACAGCUGUCUCCAGAAAGGUAGGUGAUGGGAUGAUGGUGAAAUACAGGAUCAAGUACUCAACUCCAACAUGAUGGCCAUACCCAGGACAAAUGCUGCCACAUAGUUGGAGAUCUGGCCCAUGCCUACAAGGACAAACAGCACGACAAACAUCUCAAAAUUCUUCGAGAAGAUCUGCAGGAAGCUGAAGCCUGUCUGCAUGCCCAUGGUCACGAACAGCACAUUCUUCCGGCCAAACCUGGGAAGAAAAGGAGAGUGACAGAUAACCAGCUGGAAAAGGGCAGCAGGAAUGGGCUCCACCAAGUGGGGCUUUCCCAAGAUCCAUCCAGUAAGUGGGUGUGAACAGUGUUGCCAGAAUACUGGCUGCCAGGGACAGUCUCGGUCUCACAGUGUCCAUGCUAUUUCUCCCCCUCCCCACUCCCCAUGACAAAUGUACAGCCUGGGUACCAGGGUUGCCUAAAAAGCAAUGCUACAAUUAUGAUAAUGAUUG